rnacentral:lncRNA from 11 species
UUCCAUUUGGGGGAUGGCAGCUUACACACACACACACACAAGCGAAGUUCCCCCUCCCGGCGUCGCGAUGGGCAAGAUCAACAACAGCAGCGGCGCUGGAGCGAUGAGUCACAAGCCCAUCCUCGGCCACGGCAGCAAGAGAGGCUGCAGGACGCGCGCGGGACGAGGAGUGGGCGGAGCCUGGCCGUCCCACCAUCGAAUCCCGAGGCGUCAGACGCCUCCCCGGGUCCUAGCGCCCUUCUCUUCCCAGACAGAAAAGGCCGUGCCGCCGCGCGUCUUGCCCAACGGGACUUCCCUCCGCCCGUGUCUCAGGGACAAGCAGGAAAUUGAGCCUGAAGUGUGGAAUUGUACCCUCAAUGGCACCUUGAUGAUGUUGAAGCCGUGACAAUGAAAAAUACCUAACCAAAUUUCAAAGCAGUUUAAGUUGUUUCGUCUAAUGCAAUGACCCAGCAACCCCAAGAUGAAUUUGACAGCAGUGUGGAGCAGGCAUUAGACUGGAUGAAGACUAUCCAUGAGAGACUAAAAAUCAAUGACAAUACCAAAGGGCCCCGAUCUGCCUUGGAGGCUAGGCUGAGGGACACAGAGGUAAGAAAAAAGAUACUUCUGAUCCACUGUGUUUCCAGAUGUCAUUUUUUAAUAUUAUACAGGCAUGCCUCAGGUUGCAAAGCCUCUGACCACUAUUCUGUUUUUCAUAAAGUAAUUUUUUCAUAUAUAUUUUUGAAAAUACAUGAGGAAUGGGGAAGGGUACAAGAAUGGAUAUAGAACAGGAGCAUUUUAACAUCUCCGUCUUCUUCCAUUGUUAUCUAAUACAAAAAAGAUUUCUACGAUGUUAAAAAAGAAAAGAGGGAAAACAGAACAUUUAUUUUCUAAUCUAUAACAGAAGGAUAGAAAAGUGGGUGCACAGUAUUUUGAAACAAAGAAGAUAGAAAUGUUGAGAAAUGGAAAAUUGAAAGCCCU